AUUGAACGCUGGCGGCAGGCUUAACACAUGCAAGUCGAGCGGGGGAAGGUAGCUUGCUACCGGACCUAGCGGCGGACGGGUGAGUAAUGCUUAGGAAUCUGCCUAUUAGUGGGGGACAACAUCUCAAAAGGGAUGCUAAUACCGCAUACGUCCUACGGGAGAAAGCAGGGGAUCUUCGGACCUUGCGCUAAUAGAUGAGCCUAAGUCGGAUUAGCUAGUUGGUGGGGUAAAGGCCUACCAAGGCGACGAUCUGUAGCGGGUCUGAGAGGAUGAUCCGCCACACUGGGACUGAGACACGGCCCAGACUCCUACGGGAGGCAGCAGUGGGGAAUAUUGGACAAUGGGGGGAACCCUGAUCCAGCCAUGCCACGUGUGUGAAGAAGGCCUUAUGGUUGUAAAGCACUUUAAGCGAGGAGGAGGCUACUUUAGUUAACACCUAGAGAUAGUGGACGUUACUCGCAGAAUAAGCACCGGCUAACUCUGUGCCAGCAGCCGCCGCGG
rnacentral:rRNA from 1 species